UUCCGGUUGAUCCCGCCGGAGGCUACUGCUAUUGGAAUUCGACUAAGCCAUGCGAGUCAAGGUGUCUUCGGACGCCGGCAUACGGCUCAGUAACACGUAGGUAACCUACCCUCAGGACUGAGAUAACCCCGGGAAACUGGGGCUAAUAUUAGAUAGAUAAAAGAUACUGGAAUGUUCUUUUAUCCAAAGCUUUUGCGCCUGAGGAUGGGCCUGCGCCCGAUUAGGUUGUUGGUGGGGUAAUGGCCCACCAAGCCUACGAUCGGUACGGGCAGUGGGAGCUGAAGCCCGGAGUUGGGGACUGAGACAAGGCCCCAGGCCCUACGGGGCGCAGCAGGCGCGAAACCUCUGCAAUGCGGGAAACCGUGACAGGGGGAUUCCAAGUGCUCAUGCAUUGCAUGGGCUGUUCUUUGGUCUAAGUAACCAGAGGAGUAAGGGCCGGGCAAG
rnacentral:rRNA from 1 species